AGUGGAGCAUCCAUGAGUAAAGUGGCGCACGGGUGAGUAACACGUGACUAACCUACCCUGGAGUGGGGGAUAACUGAGGGAAACCUUAGCUAAUACCGCAUAAUACCUACGGGUCAAAGGAGCAAUUCGCUUUGGGAGGGGGUCGCGGCCGAUUAGUUAGUUGGCGGGGUAAUGGCCCACCAAGACGAUGAUCGGUAUCCGGCCUGAGAGGGCGCACGGACACACUGGAACUGAAACACGGUCCAGACUCCUACGGGAGGCAGCAGUGGGGAAUUUUGCGCAAUGGGGGAAACCCUGACGCAGCAACGCCGCGUGGAGGAUGAAGUACUUCGGUACGUAAACUCCUUUCGAUCGGGACGAUAAUGACGGUACCGAGAGAAGAAGCCCCGGCUAACUUCGUGCCAGCAGCCGCGGUAAUACGAGGGGGGCGAGCGUUGUUCGGAAUUAUUGGGCGUAAAGGGUGCGUAGGCGGUUUGGUAAGUCUCGUGUGAAAUCUAUGGGCUCAACUCAUAGUCUGCACGAGAAACUGCCGGGCUUGAGUGUGGGAGAGGUGAGUGGAAUUUCCGGUGUAGCGGUGAAAUGCGUAGAUAUCGGAAGGAACACCUGUGGCGAAAGCGGCUCACUGGACCACAACUGACGCUGAUGCACGAAAGCUAGGGGAGCAA
rnacentral:rRNA from 1 species